rnacentral:rRNA from 1 species
CUUGACAUAUUAUAAGAGGUCCAGCCUGCCCAGUGACUCUGUUCAACGGCCGCGGUAUCCUAACCGUGCGAAGGUAGCGUAAUCACUUGUUCUUUAAAUGAGGACUAGUAUGAAUGGCACCACGAGGGUUAUACUGUCUCCUCUUUCUAAUCAGUGAAAUUAAUCUCCCCGUGAAGAAGCGAGGAUUAAGCUAUAAGACGAGAAGACCCUAUGGAGCUUUAAACAAAGUUACACCUGCAUCAAUUUAAUAUAAAUUUCAGAAAAUCUUCUUAGCCCAUGCAAAUUGUUUACUAGUUUUAGGUUGGGGUGACCGCGGAGCAAAAAGUAACCUCCACAUUGAAAGGAACCUAAUCCUUAGCUAAGAGCCACACCUCUAAGCACCAAUAAAAUGACAUCAAUUGACCCAAUAAUUUGAUCAACGAAC